GCUCCCAGGGCUGCUGGGGCUCAGCCAUCAGGCUACCUCCUGGGGAGGAAGCAGGUGGGGUGCGACCCUUCCAGCUGUGGUGAUGAAACAGUGAAGACGGGGCCCCAAGUCAGAGACCGAGCGCCCCAGAGAGAAGGUUCGUUUUCAAUGUCCCUGCAGCUGUGGCUCCAGAAGGAGCCUCUCAGGCUGACAGCAAGAGAACCUGCUAGACACUGAGCCUGCCACCAGUUCCAGCCAGGGGGACGCAGGGGACACUGGGGACUUGGUUCUGGCCUUCUCCUGAGCAGAGACCACAGGUCACUAGAGACAGGAUGUGACCACCAUGGUACUGGCAUUACUCAUCCUUCUGGCGGCCACCGUGAUCCCACCAGUGGACUUGCUUCCCAGCACGACAU